UACGGAGGGGGCGAGCGUUAUUCGGAAUUAUUGGGCGUAAAGGGCGCGUAGGCGGCUGUACAAGUCAAAGGUGAAAUCCCUCGGCUCAACUGAGGAACUGCCUUUGAAACUGUACGCUUGAGGCCGGGAGGGGGUAGCGGAAUUCCCAGUGUAGCGGUGAAAUGCGUAGAUAUUGGGAGGAACACCAGUGGCGAAGGCGGCUCACUGGACCGGUACUGACGCUGAUGCGCGAAAGCGUGGGGAGCAAACGGG
rnacentral:rRNA from 1 species